GUAUACUUCAAGGCUCUUCUCUGUUCUGCCACUGAGGUGGUGGAAUGAACGUCCCCUAGAUGUCCAUACAGCGAAGUCCCUGGCUAUCAUCAAGCUACAAAUGAAGACCUUCCUCUUCCUGAACCACCUAAAUUAGCACUUUUCAAGUUUGCUUUUGUAGCAGAAUGGUCUGAUGUCAUCUAGUCAGCUGAGGCUGAUUAUGCUCAUUUACCUGCCUAUGAAGUCGUUUCGGUUUGUGUUGUGGGUGCGUUUGCUCUUUGUCCGCGAGCGAGCCACCGUACCUCCGGGUUUAUGUGCGAAUAGUGGCAAGGGUGGACUGAGGAGCUUUGUGGGGAAGCCGCUAAGUGUUUAGGAAGACGUGCUUAAUAAAUGUCUGUAUCCGUGCCUCGUGAGUCGUCGUACAGGUGCGGGUCAAUGUGCGAGGGACGUUACAGUGGGCUGCUGUAGUGGGCUGCUAUAGUGGGCUUUUCGCUUGCUGUGUGGCUUUCCUGCGCUAUGUGCAUCAUUUACACCGCUUUGAUGUUGGCUUGAUGUUGGCUUUAGCUGGGCAUUGUUAAUUUACGUUCCUGUUCUCUGGAGCUCCGUGUUACUUCCGUUUGGCACCAGCUGAUUGACAUUUUGCUGCUCUUGUAUGCUAACAGUUUCUUGUUGCAGCAUUUAACUACAUGCAGGAUCAGCUGGACCGGGGGCAUGGUGCUUAUUUCCAACGGUAGUGUGAGUAAUUGAUUUAGAAGUGGCGUGUUACAGGGUAGUCAUUACCUGAUUCUGAUUUAAUCAUUUAUUUUUGCAUUAGCUUUAUUCUUUUGUUUAUUAUUUUCCUAACCUUUUCGGGUUGAGGUUUCACUACUUUAAUGGGAAUCCAUUUCUUUUGAUUUAUAUUCUUUUUAUUAGUUUGAAUUUGUGGAAUAAUGUUCUUUUUGUUUUCUUAUUAAUUAAUGUAGUUAUUUUCUAAUUUCUUUUGUAUCUGUGAAGUGCCUUUGCUCUGUUCAUGUGCCUCUGUACGAAUCAAGUAACAAGCAGUUUUUGGGCUGUUGACUGUGUCGAGAGCCAGGCUGUUGUAAUGCGAUGCUUGUUUUAAUUUGUGUUUUAAAUUACUUUUCUGUCUUUUCUUUUGCCUUCAGAAGUGGGGUGGCCAGUGGCAGCAGAUUAGCAUCUUGUGGUGGUGGGUUCCUUACCUGAUUGCAGUGCAGUGUUCACAGAGUGGGGUGGCCAGUGGCAGCAGAUUAGCAUCUUGUGGUGGUGGGUUCCUUACCUGAUUGCAGUGCAGUGUUCACAGUGAGGUGUGGUGUGCUGUGGUGCUUGUGUGCACGUGUGAGUGUUCUCUCUGCUUAGAACCCUGUGUGCUCUCUGCUUAGGACAUCAAGCCUUCUCCCACCCUGAAGUGUUUGUCUUCUUUUCUGUUUUUACUAUUGGAUGUAGUGAAUAAAAGUCGAAUUCAUUUUAAAUAACUUUUUUGUUAUUCAGUCAA